rnacentral:sRNA from 1 species
GUUUUUAUUCUCAAGGAAUUUAAACUCUUAAACACUUUUUAUUUUGAUAAUUUGUUAAUUUUUUGUAUUUCAAGUCAGUUAAAAAUUUUAAGAUGAGGACAUCCAGAAUUUACUAAAGAGGUUUUGUGUUCUGUAUGUGGCAUUUACAUAGGUUUCAAAACCUUUACUUUCGGGAAGAAUGAAUAAAUAUAGAAGUUUACGGGAGACAGAUCAUGAUCGAUAUAGUGGCAAUGUUACUAUAGAAAAUAUUCAUCAGCCUAGAGCUGCCAAGAAGCAUUCUUCAUCUAAAGAUAAGAGUCAACUAAUUCAUGACCGAAAAUGUAUUAGAAAAUUGUCAUCUGGAGAAACUGUUGUCACAUACCAGAAAAAUGAAAACCUUGAAAUGAAUGGGGAUUCUUUAAUGUUUGCCAGCCUCAUGAAUUCUGAGUCACGUCUGAAUGAAAGCCCUACUGAUGACAGUGAAAAAGAAGCCAGCCAUUCUGAAAGCAAUGUUGAUGCUGACAGUGAGCCUUCAGAAUCUGAAAGUGCUUCAAAGCAGACUGGGCUGUUCAGAUCCAGUAGUGGAUCCAGUGUGCACCCAGAUGGACCCCUUUACCGUCUGUCAGCAGGUGAACUGCUGUACACCAAGGAGACUGACAGUGGUGAUAAGGAAAUGGCUGAAGCUAUUUCUGAACUUCGUUUGAGCAGCACUGUAACUGGAGAUCAAGAUUUUGACAGAGAAAAUCAGCCACUAAAUAUUUCAAAUAAUUUAUGUUUUUUAGAGGGGAAGCAUUUGAGGUCUCAUAGUCCCCAAAAUGCUU